GUAGCUUGCUACCGGACCUAGCGGCGGACGGGUGAGUAAUGCUUAGGAAUCUGCCUAUUAGUGGGGGACAACAUCUCGAAAGGGAUGCUAAUACCGCAUACGUCCUACGGGAGAAAGCAGGGGAUCUUCGGACCCUGCGCUAAUAGAUGAGCCUAAGUCGGAUUAGCUAGUUGGUGGGGUAAAGGCCUACCAAGGCGACGAUCUGUAG
rnacentral:rRNA from 1 species